UACGUAGGGGGCAAGCGUUGUCCGGAAUUACUGGGCGUAAAGGGCUCGUAGGCGGCCAACUAAGUCAGACGUGAAAUCCCUCGGCUUAACCGGGGAACUGCAUCUGAUACUGGAUGGCUUGAGUUCGGGAGAGGGAUGCGGAAUUCCAGGUGUAGCGGUGAAAUGCGUAGAUAUCUGGAGGAACACCGGUGGCGAAGGCGGCAUCCUGGACCAACACUGACGCUGAGUGGAGCGAAAGCCAGGGGAGCAAACGGG
rnacentral:rRNA from 1 species